UAAAGGUUUGGUCCCGACUUUAUUAUCAGCUUUAGCCCAAUUUAUACAUGCAAGUACCCGCACCCCCGUGAGAAUGCCCUCAAUCCCCCGCCCGGGGACGAGGAGCUGGCAUCAGGCACACCACCAAAAUUUAAGCCCAAGACGCCUUGCUACGCCACACCCCCAAGGGAAUUCAGCAGUAACAAACAUUAAGCCAUAAGUGAAAACUUGACUUAGUUAGGGCUAAAAGGGUCGGUAAAACUCGUGCCAGCCACCGCGGUUAUACGAGAGACCCUAGUUGAUAAAUACGGCGUAAAGAGUGGUUAGAGGACUCCUAUAAUAAAGCCAAAGACCCUCCGGGCCGUCACACGCAUACGAGGGCGCGAAGUUCACACACGAAAGUAGCUUUAAAUUACCCGACGCCACGAAAGCUAAGAAACAAACUGGGAUUAGAUACCCCACUAUGCUUAGCCAUAAACACAGAUGUUAUUAUUACACAAACAUCCGCCAGGGUACUACAAGCGCUAGCUUAAAACCCAAAGGACUUGACGGUGUUUCAGACCCACCUAGAGGAGCCUGUUCUAGAACCGAUAAUCCCCGUUCAACCUCACCACCCCUUGCUCUUCCCGCCUAUAUACCGCCGUCGUAAGCUUACCCUGUGAAGGGCUUACAGUAAGCAAAAUGGGCAAGACCCAGAACGUCAGGUCGAGGUGUAGCUUAUGGAGUGGAAAGAAAUGGGCUACAUUUCCUUCACUAAAGGACAUUACGAACGACUUCAUGAAACUGAAGUCUCAAGGUGGAUUUAGCAGUAAACAUUAAUAGAGUAUUAUUUUGAAGCCGGCUCUGAAACGCGCACACACCGCCCGUCACUCUCCCCAUUUAUUAGCUUAACCUAAGUAAUUAACUAAAUACAUAAACCAGCGGGGAGGCAAGUCGUAACAUGGUAAGUGUACCGGAAGGUGCACUUGG
rnacentral:ncRNA from 1 species